CUCAGCCAAUGCAGCUGCCUGUCCAGCCAUUACUGCUGAUAUAGGAAGCUUCUUUCUCGAUUCUGACUCUGCCUUCAAGCCACGACUUCGGAAAUAUCAGGCACCUC
rnacentral:lncRNA from 1 species